rnacentral:rRNA from 1 species
AUGGCCGGCUCCGGCGGCUCUCCCGACGCCGACGAUCCCAAUUGCGGCGGAGAUGAGGCUGAGCCCUCCAGGACUCCUCAAGAAUCCGACGACCGCUACUCCGCGCCCGCCUCCCCUCUCAGCACUCGCCCGUCCGGUCAGUCCCCGGGGACCUCGGUCGUCGCCAACGAGGGCUCCGCCUCGUCCUCCGCCACGGGAUCUGAUGACGAAGACGUGCCCACAGACAGGUACAAGAACCCCGCCGCCGCUUCCUUCCUCUUGGGACCGUCGAGCAGCACCAUGGGAGCGUCCUCCUCCUCCUCCUCGGACAGCUGGAUCGGCAGCGACCGUACAUGCGGCGGCGCCUCGACUUCCAGCUCUCUGGACGCCUCCAACUACAUGGGUUUCUACAGGAACCCACCCUCUGAGUGGAUGUAUACUCAGAUUCUAGAGUCUUCUUUCGGGUGGAACGAGUACGAGACUUGUGAUGAUAUGAGGGCUUAUUCUGGGAGAGAUAAGUACGAGCCAUCACAAAAUUUCAGCAGCACAAUUCAUCAAAAGGCACCUUUAUCAGCUCUAGCAGCUACGCUUAUAAGCGAGAAUAUGAAAGCUCAAACCUAUAAGCUUUUGGCUAAUUACUCUGUAUAUCGGGAAAUAUGUCCAGAUGGGAACUGCUUUUACAGAUCUUUCAUAUUCUCGUAUCUUGAGCAGCUGGAAGCAUCUGCUAACGAGGAACAACGGUUAUUUUGUGUACUUGAACCAAUGGGGGAGAAGUUUCAAAGUCUUCAUUGGUUUGAUUCAUAUUCUGAUCUUCAUAUUGCUUUUGUGUGCUUCAUACUGGAAUGUGUGGAACAAACACGAGAACUCUCAGUAAGUGCCUAUCAAGACUGGCUUUUUCAGGAGAGUCAAAAUGAGCAGAAGUUUGCCAACAUUCUCUCGUAUCUUCGACUCGUGACAGCUAUUGAGAUAUGCAGCAAGGCUGAAAAGUAUAAGCCAUUCAUACUAGACCCUGGUUAUAAGCGUAAUUUAGUAGGGUACUGCAGGGCGAAUGUUAUCCCAAUGAAACAAGAGGCGGAACACAUCAAUCUGUUUGCGCUCACCGAUGUCCUGCAGGUUCCCCUCCAGGUUGUCUACAUUCAGGAUAAACCGACUGAGCCUAACACCCACAUCAUCUACGAGUCACCAGAUUCUUCGGUUCCUACUGUGACACUACUGUAUAGACCAGGGCAUUAUGAUAUUAUCUACGAGAAGUAA